rnacentral:rRNA from 1 species
AUUGAACGCUGGCGGCAUGCUUUACACAUGCAAGUCGAACGGCAGCACGGGCUUCGGCCUGGUGGCGAGUGGCGAACGGGUGAGUAAUGCAUCGGAACGUGCCCAUUUGUGGGGGAUAACUACGCGAAAGCGUGGCUAAUACCGCAUACGCCCUGAGGGGGAAAGCGGGGGAUUCUUCGGAACCUCGCGCAAUUGGAGCGGCCGAUGUCAGAUUAGCUUGUUGGUGAGGUAAAGGCUCACCAAGGCGACGAUCUGUAGCGGGUCUGAGAGGAUGAUCCGCCACACUGGGACUGAGACACGGCCCAGACUCCUACGGGAGGCAGCAGUGGGGAAUUUGGACAAUGGGGGCAACCCUGAUCCAGCCAUGCCGCGUGAGUGAAGAAGGCCUUCGGGUUGUAAGCUCUUUCUAGCCGGGAAGAAAACGCACUCUCUAACAUAGGUGUGGAUGACGGUACCGGAAGAAGAAGACACCGGCAACUACGUGCCAGCACGG